rnacentral:rRNA from 1 species
CGGUGAAAUGCGUAGAGAUGUGGAGGAACACCAGUGGGAAGGCGGCUUUUUGGUUAUGUAAACUGACGUUGAGGGCGCGAAAGCGUGGGGGAGCAAACAGGGAUUUAGAUACCCUGGUAGUCCACGCCGUAAACGGAUGAGUGCUAAAGUGUUAGAGGGUUUCCGCCCUUUAGUGCUGCAGCUAACGCAUUAAGCACUCCGCCUGGGGAGUACGGUCGCAAGACUGAAACUCAAAGGAAUUGACGGGGGCCCGCACAAGCGGUGGAGCAUGUGGUUUAAUUCGAAGCAACGCGAAGAACCUUACCAGGUCUUGACAUCCUCUGACAACUCUAGAGAUAGAGCGUUCCCCUUCGGGGGACAGAGUGACAGGUGGUGCAUGGUUGUCGUCAGCUCGUGUCGUGAGAUGUUGGGUUAAGUCCCGCAACGAGCGCAACCCUUGAUCUUAGUUGCCAGCAUUUAGUUGGGCACUCUAAGGUGACUGCCGGUGACAAACCGGAGGAAGGUGGGGAUGACGUCAAAUCAUCAUGCCCCUUAUGACCUGGGCUACACACGUGCUACAAUGGAUGGUACAAAGGGCUGCAAGACCGCGAGGUCAAGCCAAUCCCAUAAAACCAUUCUCAGUUCGGAUUGUAGGCUGCAACUCGCCUACAUGAAGCUGGAAUCGCUAGUAAUCGCGGAUCAGC